AUUGAACGCUGGCGGCGUGCCUAACACAUGCAAGUCGAGCGGUAACAGGUGUAGCAAUACAUGCUGACGAGCGGCGGACGGGUGAGUAACGCUUGGGAAUCUGCCUAUUAGUGGGGGACAACCCGGGGAAACUCGGGCUAAUACCGCAUACGCUCUACGGAGGAAAGCCCGGGGACCGCAAGGCCUGGCGCUAAUAGAUGAGCCCAAGUCGGAUUAGCUAGUUGGUAGGGUAAUGGCCUACCAAGGCGACGAUCCGUAACUGGUCUGAGAGGACGACCAGUCACACCGGAACUGAGACACGGUCCGGACUCCUACGGGAGGCAGCAGUGGGGAAUAUUGGACAAUGGGCGAAAGCCUGACGCAGCGACGCCGCGUGUGGGAUGAAGGUCUUCGGAUUGUAAACCACUGUCGGGAGGGACGAAUGCGCCGCAAGGCGAGUGACGGUACCUCCAAAGGAAGCACCGGCUAACUCUGUGCCAGCAGCCG
rnacentral:rRNA from 1 species